GGCUUCAAGGAUGUCCACGGCAAUUCCAAGCCGCGGGGCUGCUCUGUUGCUCUGUCCCCCAGGGGCUUCCUGGCAGAAAGCAGAACCCCGCAGCCUCAGGAGCUGCCUGGCAGUGUGUGUUUCUGUGCGAGUGUUGGAUGUCUCUGUGUGCCUUUCUGUGUGUGUGUGUGUGUGUGUGUGUGUAUGCGAGUAUCUUUCUGAGUGUGUUGAUGAGUGUGUGCGUGUGUGUGUGGGUGGGACAUGCUGACAUGAAUGUGGCCAGUGCACUCCAGCGGGCUUUCUCUGUAGUCUGGCUACCUUCUGCUCCCAGUCUGCAUUUGGCUCAGUUUGGGGGCUGCGGUGCCCUGCAUUCUUUGUUUUCCUGCUGCUUUCCAAAGCCUCAGUGUAGUGGGGUCUGGCUCCCACCUGCAGAUGCCAUAAUCACCUGCCGAUCCCAAGAAAGAGUUCCUAGAGAGAGAAGACAAAGGCAGUCUGUGUUGCAAAAGAAGCCCAAGGCUGAAGUUUGA
rnacentral:lncRNA from 1 species